CCUCACUUCCUGACACAAACAAGUUUUUACUGUUGUCAGCAACAAAGCCCUAAUAUAGCUGCGGAAGAGAAAAACUGCAUUGCAUUUGUCUCCUGCGAGCAUCGACACAGUUACCAGAGGAAUGUAAUUCCAGAAUGCUUUAAAACUGGUGAUGAUGGUAAUUAUGUAUCAAAUGCCUGAUUCUAUUUGCUAUUAUUGUUUUGGCAUUUCUGUUCUCCCACUGAUGUUGUGACUGAACUCGCAGAGAGACAAAUCCGCUUUUUCUUUCUGACUUUGUAAUAUUCAGUUAGGCCUGAUAGAAAACUCAUUGCUCUUGGAGGAAAUAAAGUAGGAGCCACGAAAUGUCAUUUUAACAGAGCGUGGGUUUUGUGACUGUAGGAAAGGAUUUAAGGACGCUCCUUCUGUUCGGCUUGCUAUGUAAUGAGCACGGGCUCCACGCACGCACCGACGCCACAGCUCCCGGAUGCUGUGGCUCCCUUAUCUGGGCUUCUGCAGCGCCAGRAGCCCCUUCGGGAUGCUGCGAGGGGCUCCCGGUGAGUGGUGGUACAAACGCUGCGGCCGCCGCCGCCGCCGCCAGUCCUGCUGCUGUUGUUGCUGCUGCAGUCACGUGGGAGCCCCUUUAAGUUUCCAUAGAGAGGCCUCUCCGGUGUCACAUGAUGGACAUGAUAUAAUGAAACAACAUUGUGGAGAGGAAAGCAUUAGGGGAGCCCACGGCUACAAAAACAAGUGAGUGAGAAGAGGUGGGAGGAAGAGAAACUACGCCACCUCCCCUGCAGCCGAGCGCACGCAGCAGCCUGGCGUGACAAGUGGGCGACGCCGGGGGGGCAGGGAACCGGGGGUCCUUGGCCCUGGCCGGGGACCUCGCCGCCCACCAGCGGAGAAUAAGUUUUAGCCGGCAGCCCCAGCCAGCCCUGCACCUGUCUCCAGCGUCUCCAUCGCUCCUCGUGAUCAUCGAAGGGAAAUUCUAGAAGAAUUUGCUUCACAAAUCUACGUGCGCAUCAUUUUCUCCGCCGCGUCUCKUUCGGGAGGAAGGAACGAGAAAGGGAUUCGAGCGGCGGGCGUUCUGCCCGAAGCAUCACCAAGCAUCCCAGGAAUGCUACUUCUGCUCAGUUCUUGGAUGGAGAGGAAUGGAGGAGGAUUUUUGCCUCACUUGUGUUUUCAGGGAAUCUUUUAACUGGUUAGGAGGAUUGAGGUGUUCGCCAUCUGGAGUUUCUCUGCCUCAUGGAGCCCAGCUCAGAGCUGCCAGUUUGCAGGAGAUGAUUGAUAACAUCUUAUUCACAGCCCACCGAAAAAUGAAACAAGUAGAAGUACUUUUAAUGGAACAGAAUAAAGCACUGAGCAGGAGGUGAGAGGCUGAGGAAAAUGGAUUUCCUGAUGACAGCCGGCUUGCCAGAUCUUACUGUACUGAAGAGGAGACUUCUC